GGCAGGCAGAAGCAGGAGACCUGAGCUCUCCCCCGGGGCCUGUUGCUUGGUGACAUUCCUGCCUUGUUACAGCCCCUGGUCCCCCAAGAGCAUGAGUGGGAACAGAUUCUGCUGGGGGAUUACAGAGGCCUGGUCAGGAGCCUUCCUGCAAUGGGAUGAUGUAAGCUGGGACAGUCCCUCAAGGACAUCGCAGGAAGUGGGAGAGUUGGUGUCGUUGGGGCCCCCAUUUCCCUAGGGUACUGCGGAGGAGGGAGAACACUGAAUUACUGUUAAGACGCUGUUGAUAAGAUUCCAUGCACCAGGGAUGGAACCAGCAAGGCGGUUCUCUGCCACUAGGCUCCACACCCUGAUCAGAUCCACACAUUACGCAGUUUUAUGGUACCUGCUUUUUACAAUCGCCUUUUAUUUAUAAGAAG